CCGCAGACGCGAAGCCGGGUGAGCUAUCCAUGGGCAGGCUGAAGCGGGGGUAAGACCCCGUGGAGGGCCGAACCCACCUAGGUUGAAAACUGGGGGGAUGACCCGUGGAUAGGAGUGAAAGGCCUAUCAAACCCGGAGAUAUCUCGUUCUCCCCGAAAUAGCUUUAGGGCUAGCCUCGGGCGUUUACCAUGGGGGGUAGAGCACUGGACUGCCGCGGGGGCCUCACCGCCUACCAACGCAGACCAAACUCCGAAUACCCAUGGUCCACAGCCCGGGAGUCAGAACAUGUGGGCUAAGCUGUGUGUUCGAAAGGGAAACAGCCCAGACCGCCCGCUAAGGCCCCCAAGUCGAUGUUGAGUGGCAAAGGAUGUGCGUCCGCCCAGACAACCAGGAUGUUGGCUUAGAAGCAGCCACCCAUUCAAAGAGUGCGUAAUAGCUCACUGGUCGAGUGGACAUGCGCCGACAAUACACGGGGCUAAGCAUCGCGCCGAAGCGGCGGACCGGAACGUUGGUUCCGGUGGUAGGGGAGCUUCCCGUGCGCGGGGAAGCCGAGGGACGACCCUCGGUGGAGCGCCCGGGAGUGAGAAUGCUGGCAUGAGUAACGAGAGCGGGGUGGAAAACCCCGCCGCCGUAAACCCAAGGUUUCCUGGGCGAGGCUAAUCCUCCCAGGGUCAGUCGGGGGCUAAGGCGAGGCCGGUAGGCGUAGCCGACGCGCAGCAGGCAGACAUUCCUGCACCGCGCACGCGGCGCUACGACCGACGGGGCGACGGAUGGGGGUGGCUCGGCGGGGUUCUGGACGUCCCCGUGAUGGAGCGCGGCCCGCGGACCAGGGAAAUCCGGUCCGCACGAGGGCGAGGCUCCGGACGAAGCGAUCAAGCGAAGCGAGUGAGCCCGAGGUCCCUAGAAAAACCCCUAGGCAGGCGCGUGCGCGCCCGUACCGCAAACCGACACAGGUGGGUGGGUAGAACAUACCGAGGCGAUCGGGUCAACCAUGGUCAAGGAACUCGGCACAAUGGCCCCGUAACUUCGGGAGAAGGGGUGCCCGCGCGUACGUGAACGGACUUGCUCCGGGAGCGGAGGCGGGCCGCAGUGGAGAGGCCCAAGCGACUGUUUACCAAAAACACAGGACUCUGCAGAAGCCGCAAGGCGACGUAUAGGGUCUGACGCCUGCCCGGUGCCGGAAGGUCACGCGGAGGAGUUAGCGCAUCGCGCGAAGCCCCGAAGCCAAGCCCCGGUAAACGGCGGCCGUAACUAUAACGGUCCUAAGGUAGCGAAAUUCCUUGUCGGGUAAGUUCCGACCUGCACGAAAGGCGCAACGACUUGGGCGCUGUCUCGACCAUGGACCCGGUGAAAUUGCACUGGUCGUGAAGAUGCGACUUACCCGCGGAAGGACGGAAAGACCCCGUGAACCUUCACUGCAGCUUGGCAUUGGCCGCUGGUCCCGCGUGUAGAGGAUAGGCAGGAGGCAUCGAUCCGGAGGCGCCAGCCCCCGGGGAGCCGCCCUUGGAAUACUGCCCUCGCGCGACCGGCGUCCUAACCCGAGGCCGUCAACCGGCUCGGGGACCGUGCCAGGCGGGCAGUUUGACUGGGGCGGUCGCCUCCUAAAGGGUAACGGAGGCGCGCGAAGGUCCGCUCGGGACGGUCGGCAACCGUCCUUUUGAAUGCAAGAGUACAAGCGGGCUUGACUGCGAGGCCCACAAGCCGAGCAGGUGCGAAAGCAGGCUCUAGUGAUCCGGCGGCCCCGAGUGGGUGGGCCGUCGCUCAACGGAUAAAAGGUACUCCGGGGAUAACAGGCUGAUCUUGCCCAAGAGUCCACAUCGACGGCAAGGUUUGGCACCUCGAUGUCGGCUCAUCGCAUCCUGGGGCUGGAGCAGGUCCCAAGGGUACGGCUGUUCGCCGUUUAAAGCGGUACGCGAGCUGGGUUCAGAACGUCGUGAGACAGUUCGGUCCCUAUCCUCCGUGGGCGCAGGAGAAUCGAUGGAGGCUGCCCCCAGUACGAGAGGACCGGGGUGGACGCACCUCCGGUGAACCGGUUGUCGACCAACGGCACGGCCGGGUAGCCGCGUGCGGCGCGGAUAACCGCUGAAGGCAUCUAAGCGGGAAGCCGUUCCAGGGAUUAGUUCUCCUUCCGGUAAGGGCCCAGGUAGACUACCUGGUCGAUAGACGGCAGGUGCAAGGCUGGCGACAGCCUCAGCCGAGCCGCACUAAUCGCCCGAGCUCUUCCGGA
rnacentral:rRNA from 1 species